CCUAUGGGGGGCAGCAGUGGGGAAUAUUGGACAAUGGGGGCAACCCUGAUCCAGCCAUGCCGCGUGUGUGAAGAAGGCCCUCGGGUUGUAAAGCACUUUCAGUGAGGAAGAACGCCUGGUGGUUAAUACCCAUCAGGAAAGACAUCACUCACAGAAGAAGCACCGGCUAACUCCGUGCCAGCAGCCGCGGUAAUACGGAGGGUGCGAGCGUUAAUCGGAAUUACUGGGCGUAAAGCGCGCGUAGGUGGCUUGAUAAGCCGGUUGUGAAAGCCCCGGGCUCAACCUGGGAACGGCAUCCGGAACUGUCAAGCUAGAGUGCAGGAGAGGAAGGUAGAAUUCCCGGUGUAGCGGUGAAAUGCGUAGAGAUCGGGAGGAAUACCAGUGGCGAAGGCGGCCUUCUGGACUGACACUGACACUGAGGUGCGAAAGCGUGGGUAGCAAACAGGAUUAGAUACCCCGGUAGUC
rnacentral:rRNA from 1 species